GAUUCUUUUUUUCAAAGAUGAAUAACACGGUAUAAUAAGCAAUGGCAUUGUGCAAGCAUCGACAGCAAUACAAAUAGGAGUAGCAUCUCAAUCCUUUGCUAUCUCUCUAAAGCUCUCUACUACUCUCUUUUAUUCCUCUCCCAAGACCACACACGGCAGCAACAGCACGCUCAAUCUCUCUUCUUCCUCCCAAAAUCAGCAGCCAAUCUCUCUUCUUCCUCUCAAAUCGAACAUCAAUAGCCCAGGCACCGCCGACCACCACACCUAUCACCUUCCGCAACCGCCUGGUCGUAACUGCUGCUGCUAGCGGGCGUGUGUAGGAGGAAAUCAGGCUGCCCCAGCCAUAAGUUGAAUUGCCCGUUUAUUACUGAACCAGAAAAUUACAUAUUUUAUAUUUGAUCAGCAACCUGCUUGGAUCAUCAAGAAAAUAGCUUAGCUUGCCCAGAAGACAUGUAAAUUGCUAGACGUGUUCAAAUUAUUAUCUACAUGAAUCUAGACGUGUUGUUGAGGAAUAUAUGAAAAUGGUACAUAGUAAAAGUCAUAAUUCUGUCCCAAUUAUCAACUUUUUGUACUUCACAUACAAAUUUAAUUGAUAAGAAAUAAACUAAUCAAGGCAGCCAAUUUUUUUACCGAAAAGUCUGUCGGUUAAUGUUCUCUUCAUCCACCAUGACCUACUCUGUUUUCCUGCAAAAUCCACAACAACUAAACUAAUCUUUGUUUCUAUGAUGCAUGACAUUGAAUAGAUAGCACAAAUGGUCAACCGAAUAGUCAUCUCACGAUCCAAGUGGCCAAGCCCUUCUUCCAUCUCCUCCCGCCCGGUUAAUCACAUGCAAGAUCUUUAUAUAUAGUUAGAAGCAGAUGCAUUGCUAGAACUCUUUAAUCAAUAUAACUUUACUAUGUAUUUCUUUUCUCUUUAUCCCUUCUUCCCUCUCCUCCCGCCCGGUUAAUCUUCUCUAAUUAUUUGUUUUCAGUUUUCUUGUCAAGCUUCUAGAAAAAAAAAUCAAAAUGCUCACAUGAAAGAGAAAACCGAUUAUUUUAGAGUGGCAAAGAAAAUUGAAAGAUGAGACGAUACCUUGAUAAUAAUAUGUGCAGAUCCACUUGUGCGACUGCUUGGGUCAUUGUUCAAAUACAUUCCCCAAAUGGGCUUG
rnacentral:lncRNA from 1 species